rnacentral:rRNA from 1 species
UUUUGACCUCGGAUCAGGUAGGGAUACCCGCUGAACUUAAGCAUAUCAAUAAGCGGAGGAAAAGAAACCAACAGGGAUUGCCCUAGUAACGGCGAGUGAAGCGGCAACAGCUCAAAUUUGAAAUCUGGCUCUUUUAGAGUCCGAGUUGUAAUUUUGCAGAGGGCGCUUUGGCUUUGG